UCCUGACCCCCAUGCUGCAAGUCUUCUGUUUCAUACACCCUACACCAGCUCUACAGAAAAAAACAGGACACCAGGGAGCAGAGGGACCCUAGGAAAGGGAAAACAUGACAGACACCCUCAUGUGGUUUGGCUGCGUCCCCACCCAAAUCUCAUCUUGAAUUACCACGUGUUGUGGGAGGGACCAGGUGGGAGGUAACUGAGUCGGUGGGAGGUAACUGAGUCAUGAGGGCGGGUCUUUUCCGUGCUGUUAUCAUGAUAGUGAAUAAGUCUCAUGAGAUCUGAUGGUUUUAUAAGUAGGUGUUUCCCUGCACCAGCUUUUUCUCUGCCUGCUACCAUCCAUGUAAGAUGUGACUUGCCCCCUGCCAUGAUUGUGAGGCCUCCCCAGCCAUGUGAACUGUAAGUCCAUUAAACCUCUUUCUUUUGUAAA
ensembl:lncRNA novel transcript, antisense to UFD1L